GAAUGGCUGAGCCACAGCCAGGGUGGGGGCACCGCGGGGACUGCGUGUGGAAGAGCAGGGUUAUGCCAAAAGGAGUGACGGCCCAGAGCUGUAAUGGUACUUGUCUAGAACUCUGCUUCUGUUUUGUGCACGUGACGAGUUGAACUUGCAUAAAUACCUACGGCCUUGCUCUAACUCAAGGUUCACAUCGCUAUCAUUAGUGGCAAGUAGCAAUGACCAUGUAAAAGGAGGACACUGUGACCUUCCCUCAAAGUUAUACAAUGACCCUCAGUUUCAGAAUUGUCUCCUUGUUAAUUCAGCACCUCCAGAACAGAUCUUUCAGAACAGCAAUCUUAGUGAGUUAGUACACAGGCAAUGUUGGAUUAUUGACCCUAUUCACCGGCUGCUGAAGAAAUCCCUUACACAAACUGUCAUUUCAUGAUAGAACAAGAAGUGCUCCAUUUUGUGAAGAAUAUAAACAUGUGCAUUUAAGAAAAGACUUAUUGCUGCCAGAUUAUUUCCUUCAAACCAUAAUUUCUA